rnacentral:lncRNA from 1 species
GAAAGACUCUGGAAAGCAGUUGUCUUCCCCGGCUUUUUUAAGUACCUCCAUAAGGUAGGGGACCAACAGCUCCCUAAAUUCUUUAUAGAACUCUGGAGGGAAGCCAUCCUCCCCAGGAGAUUUAUUAGAAGCUCCUCAUGGCUAACAACAACAACAUGCCGCUGGGUUGGUUUCAGCUGAAUGCUUCCACCAGUACGAUAAGGUAUUCUUUUCCAUGCCCCAGGCAACUUCAUUACUAACCUUUAGACAUACGAGUUACCAUACCCGGUCUCAGGGAUGGCCAACUCUGAAAAUCUCUACAGAGUUCCCUACAACAGGAUGUCCAUGUAUGGAACAAUCUACAGAGUUCCCUACAACAGGAUGUCCAUGUAUGGAACAAUCUACAGAGUUCCCUACAACAGGAUGUCCAUGUAUGGAACAAUCUACAGAGUUCCCUACAACAGGAUGUCCAUGUAUGGAACAAUCUACAGAGUUCCCUACAACAGGAUGUCCAUGUAUGGAACAAUCUAGAGUUCCCUACAACAGGAUGUCCAUGUAUGGAACAAUCUAGAGUUCCCAACAACAGGAUAUCCAUGUAUGGAACAAUCUACAGAGUUCCCUACAACAGGACGUCCAUGUAUGGAACAGUCUAGAGUUCCCUACAACAGGAUGUUGUGGAACCUCUCGGGCAGUUCAACAUGUUGAUUGGAGACCUCUUUGCUGAUGAAUGUGAUAAUUUUUCUGCAAUGUAUUUGUAUUUUUUUAUGUAAAGGAUGUGAAGGGCUGCCUUGUGAAAAAUACAUUUGGACUGAAUGGGACUCGGUUUAAAUAUAUAUAUAUAUAUAUAAGGAAUCCAGGCAGCACCCAGUGAAAGGGGUGAAAGGGUUAGCAUAUCAGCUUGUGGGCUUUGGCACCAGGCCCUUAUUGUAAUUAACUGGCAAAUUGGCAGAUUAGUAGAGAAAUCAAGCAGAACCUGUCUGUUUGUUCGUACUGGCCGCCAGCCCUGCUUGAGUGACGGAUGGGCUGAAGAUCCUGGUGCCACUGAAUAGUGUAACUGUCAUGUCCAUGCUGGAGUGUAUUUGUAUUCAUUAUAAAUUCCCAUUACUUCCUGCCAAGGCAGCAGCUACUCUUCCUGGGGUCCGGCUAAAUUAAGGCAGUUUAUUCAAUUUAAAAACAAUUACAAUACAUUCACAGAUUUCACAACACACUGUGUGCCCUCACGCCCCUAAUCCACCACUACCACAUAUCUACAGUACAAAAUCCAUGUGUACAUGUGUGAAAAGUGCGAGUGUACAGCUGUGAAAGGCAGUGUGUGAUUAGGAAAUGCGACAGGGAGAUUUUGACGUCUUUAGUACAUUGUAAAUAGCAGUGCCUAUGGAGCUGGUUAGAGAGAUAUCGCCCUGUGUUUUGUUUUCCCUUCAAACAUGCCAUAAUUUCAUGUGGGUCGGGGGGAGUCCCACAGGAUGGUAUGGCCACAAGGGUAUUUCUUUAACAAAUUAGGUCCCUUGGCUCAUCUCUGUAACUCUUCCCUGGGCUCGGGAGAGGCAAAGGUGGAGUCAUGUGUCCUCAGAAAAGUGACCUGCCUGGCUGUCUACUUCUCAUCUCUUAACCCAGAUGUCAGCUGCACCGAUAUGUCAUAGGAAACACUGUUCGACUGACAACCGGAGUCAGCUUGCAGGCUCCCAGCCUUGUCACAAGGAGUCAUUAGGAGAACCUCUAAGAACUUUGCACCCCUGGAUUGUAAAAUAUUUGCACAUUAUUCUUUUUGAAAUUAUUCAAGCUCUGUCAAGUUGAUUGUUGAUCAUUGCUAGACAGCCAUUUUCAGGUCUUGCCAUAGAUUUUCAAAGCAACUAAGAGGACAAAUCCUCUAAUCAUCAUAUACAGUGCCUUCAGAAAAAAAGUUUUUACACAAGUAUUCACACCCCUGACUCACAGCUGCAAUUGCUGCCAAAGGUGAUUCUAACAUGUAUUGACUCAGGAGGGAAAAUACUUGUGUAAAUUCGAUAUUUCUGUAUUUCAUUUAAUACAUUUACAGAAAUGUCAAAACAUAUGUUUUUGCUUUGUCAUUAUGGGGUAUUGUGUGUAGAUGGGUGAGAGGAAAAAGUAUAUUUAAUCAAUGUUGAACUCAGGCUGUAACACAACCAGAUGUGGAAUAAGUCAGAGGGUAUGAACACUUUCUGAAGGCACUUUAUAUGAUGGGUAAGAGGAGAGAUUUGUCCUCUUAGGUGUGAACUUGCUUUUCAUCAUGGUUUUGCUGCUGCUGCCAGGGACGGACUGGGACCAGAAAUCGUCCCGGUUAUUUAUAAAAAAUAUGAUCAUAUUACUCCAGUGCUAGCCCCUCAACACUGGCUUCCUGUUAAGGCUAGGGCUGAUUUCAAGGUUUUACUGGUAACCAACAAAGCAUUACAUGGUUUUCUCCUAUCUAUCUUUCUGAUUUGGUCCUGCCGUACAUACCUACACGUACGCUAUGGUCACAAGACGCAGGCCUCCUAAUUGGUUGGAGACAUCCCUCUAGUGGUGUGGGGGCUGUGCUUUGGCAAAGUGGGUGGGGUUAUAUCCUGCCUGUUUGGCCCUGUCCGGGGGUAUCAUCGGAUGGGGCCACAGUGUCUUCUGAUCCCUCCUGUCUCAGCCUCCAGUAUUUAUGCUGCAGUAGUUUAUGUGUCGGGGGGCUAGGGUCAGUCUGUUACAUCUGGAGUAUUUCUCUUGUCUUAUCCGGUGUCCUGUGUGAAUUUAAAUAUGCUCUCUCUAAUUCUCUCUUUCUCUCUUUCUGUCUUUCUCUCGGAGGACCUGAGCCCUAGGACCAUGCCUCAGGACUACCUGGUAUGAUGACUCCUUGCUGUCCCCAGUCCACCUGGCCGUGCUGCUGCUCCAGUUUCAACUGUUCUGCCUGCGGCUAUGGAACCCUGACCUGUUCACCGGACGUGCUUGUUGCACCCUCGACAACUACUAUGAUUAUUAUUAUUUGACCAUGCUGGUCAUUUAUGAACAUUUUAACAUUUUAACAUUUUGACCAUGUUCUGUUAUAAUAUCCACCCUGCACAGCCAGAAGAGGACUGGCCACCCCUCAUAGCCUGGUUCCUCUCUAGGUUUCUUCCUAGGUUUUUGGCCUUUCUAGGGAGUUUUUCCUAGGGAGUUUUUCCUAGCCACCGUGCUUCUUUCACAUGCUUUGCUUGCUGUUUGGGGUUUUAGGCUGGGUUUCUGUACAGCACUUUGAGAAUAUCAGCUGAUGUACGAAGGGCUAUAUAAAAAUAAAUUUUUUGAAAUUUGA